rnacentral:rRNA from 1 species
GCCGCGGUAAUACGGAGGGUGCAAGCGUUGUCCGGAUUUAUUGGGUUUAAAGGGUGCGUAGGUGGCCUGUUAAGUCCGGGGUGAAAGCCCACAGCUCAACUGUGGAACUGCCCUGGAUACUGGCGGGCUUGAGUCCAGACGAGGUUGGCGGAAUGGAAGCUGUAGCGGUGAAAUGCAUAGAUAGCUUCCAGAACCCCGAUUGCGUAGGCAGCUGACUAGGCUGGUACUGACACUGAGGCACGAAAGCGUGGGGAGCGAACAGGAUU